UGUAUAUAUGUGUGUGCAUGUAUAUGUGCAUAUGUACCUAUAUAUAGACACACACACCCAUAUAUAUCCCAUCAUGGAAAGA
rnacentral:miRNA from 1 species